rnacentral:sRNA from 1 species
CUUCGAACGUCAGGGAUCCUUUUCCCCCAUCGUAUCCUGACCGAGGCCCCACAAAUCGAUGAAACCAUGGGAUAUCAGUACUCCAAUCGACCAUCCGCGUAACACAGUUCACCGUUCACAGCAAUCGCAGAGAGACGGGAGUGGAGCAGGGCGGGGGGAGGAAUGGUCUCUGCGUUGAACAAGGAAUGGGCAAGGUGGGAAAAGGGCGUUUCCACACUUGAAGGGGAAAAAACGUUGAAAAUAAUGCGAUGAAAUGCGCAUACCUAUGUGCAGAGGACCUAUGUACUGUACGUCCGCAAGGGAGAUAGAUGGAUUUGAAAGUGGCAUAUACAUCAGGCGGCUAAUCUCAGCCAUCUCUCCCUUCAAUCUGCCAAGGGCAAAAAUGGUGGCAACUAGCCGGUGCCCCUGAGCACCAUCGGCGAGCCCACCGGGAGGCGAAAGAAUGACGGCUUCUGCGAGGAUUAUUGCCGAAUCAAGCGCAAGCGGCCAUCAGCGAGCGUUUCGUUUGACAGCACAAAUUUUCGCCGGUUUGUUUCACAAUAAGCGUGUCCUGGGAGUGGGGAAAGUCGGAGAAUCAUAGUGCAAGCACCGGAAAAUUUCCCAAUGUUACUUUCGCAGUCGAUGAAUGUACGGGGUCAAUAAUGAGAGAAUGGGAUAUGGAGGUUGUUGGCUUUUGUUCAGUACAUGCGAUGAGCUGGAGCUUCUUCAGAGCUCCAAACCUGAGCUUGGACAUCUGAAGUCUUGUAAUAAUCAUUGAGAUUGCUCAAGGGUCCACCACUGUUACCAAGAAAUCUUGCCGUGUGCAGUACAUCAUCAUCAUACGUAAUAGUGUUCGAAAGGCAUGAAUCAGACCGUUCGUCGGAACUUGGCGGCAAUUCUACGAGAUAUACCUAUUUUUAAUUUUUAGAUAUGGACAGACACUGACAUGCCUGUGCAUGCAUGGGUGGACGAUACAGUGUUUGUUACAUACAAUGUACACGUCCAACAGGCUAUUUCCUUGAGGAUUGCAGGAAUGAACGGAAACGAAUGUAAGUGAGAACCUUGGAAUAUUAAUUAUUAAUGACGAUAAUUCAGGAAGCAAAAAUGGUUCAAGUGAAACUCGCAGAGAAAUGAUGAAAAAAGAGCAAUCUGAUGGACAGGAGGAAUGGACCAAAAAUACCUGUCCACACCUG